rnacentral:lncRNA from 1 species
GGCCUCAAAUCAGCGCACCAGGUGGGCGGUGAGGGCGUACAUGAAGAGGGGCUGCACGGCUGCGAUGGCAGCAGUCAGGUAUGUGCGGGGGGGGGAACGGGACCCCCGCCCUGCAACCCCCACAGCUGCCUCUGCCAACAGCUUCAGCCGCAGCGACCGCACCAUGAAGACGAAGAUGCUGAGGCAGCACCAGCCCAGCACGGCGUGGUACCCCGUGCUCCCAAACAGCAGCCCGGCCAGCAGCGCUGCGAUCAUCCCCACGUAUUUGUAUCCGGCGAAGGCCAACAGGUCGGGGGUGCUGAGGUCGGUGGGCAGUGAGAACAGGUAGAGGCUGAGCAGCACCGCCAGCACCUCCAGCAGCAGCCAGGCCAGGGCUGAGCUCGCCUGCAGGCCCAGGCUGUCCGGGGAGAACCUGUUCUGGGUGCCCAGCGCCAGCCCGGCCACCAGCAGGUAUGUGAUGAAUGCCAUCGCUG